rnacentral:rRNA from 1 species
AUGUGCGGCGGCGCCAUCCUAGCGGAGCUGAUCCCGCCGUCGGCGGCGGGCCGUGCGCCGAAGCAGGUGGCCGCGGGCCAGGCCUCGUCCAAGAAAGGCGGCAUGAGCAAGAGGCACCACAGCAGCAUCCCCGACGUCGACGACUUCGAGGCCGCCUUCGAGGACUUCGAUGACGACUUCGACCUGCAGGCGGAGGAGGACGGCGGCGACCAUGUCGUUUUCGCAUCCAAGCCUGCGUUCUAUCCGGCAUACGGUGGUGGCCGCCGCGCGGUGCAGGCGGCAAGCAUGAAGAAGCGCGUCCUCCACGGCAUCCGGCAGCGGCCGUGGGGCAAGUGGGCGGCGGAGAUCCGCGACCCGCACAAGGGCACCCGCGUCUGGCUCGGCACGUUCGACACGGCCGAUGACGCCGCCCGGGCCUACGACGUCGCCGCCCGACGCCUCCGCGGCAGCAAGGCCAAGGUCAACUUCCCCGACGCGGCCAGGGCCGGGGCGCGCCCGCGCCGCGCCAGCCGUAGAACCGCGCAGAAACCGCCAUGCCCCCCUGCGGGGACGACGGCGUACUCUGCCACCGCAGCAUCACGCGCACAGCCGGAGCAGGACACUAUGAUGGCCAAGCCCGAGCGGAUGGAGUUUUCGGACGUGGACACGUUCGUUGACCUGACCGCCGCCGUCGCCGCGCUACCGCCUGUCACGGCGAGCUCCUUCGCCGACAAGAUGCCGAGGGUCGACGAGGACUCGUCGGAGGGGAGCGGCGGCGGCGCCAUGCUGGGGUUCGCCGACGAGCUUGGGUUCGAACCGUUCAUGAUGUUCCAGUACGAAUCCAUGGACAGCCUCUUCGCCGGACACGCCGUCAUCCAGGAUGCCCGCGGUGUGGACGGCGGCAUGGACGGCGUUAGCCUCUGGAGCUUCGACGAGUUCCCCAUGGACAGCGCCAUUUUCUGA